UCCCUUCCUUUCCAUAGGGCUUUUUCUUACUUAUGCAUUACUUUGAAUUAUGGUUUCAUAAAUUAGGGUUCUCGCUUUGCAAAAGAUGCUAAUAGAGGAUCUUGUUGAAAUUCUCAUUUCCUCACACGAUGAUAUGUAUGUCUUUCUCCGGUUUGGUUUAGGGUUUACUACGAUCAGUGGUAUUGGACCAUAGAAGAAUAAAUUGAUUCUCUCCCUCAAGUUUUGAGAAUUUUGAAUUGCAUGGCAUUUUAAUUUGUCUAGUUAGAUCCAAAAGAAUAGUUUUUUUUGUCGUGGGCUUAUUUUCGGAUCGAGCUCCUCUGCGGCGUGUUUUCUUGGCAGAACCUGCGGAGCCUGCCUGCGAUGCUGACAUAUGGCCGAACCACGUGUAUGAUAAACAUUCACUUAUGCCGAUUUUGAAAGUGGGAUCGGAUCGACCAAAACGGUUCUCUGUUUCGGUCGUACCAAAGCGAACCCUUUCCCAUCUCUUCUGCAGGUCGAUCCCUCUGUCCUCUCAUCUGUGCGGAGGAAGCAAAUCCUCUCCCAUCUCUUCUUCUUCUUCUCUCUCCUUACCCUCAUCUUUUGCUCUGUUUGUAUGUUCUGAACUCUAUGACCACCGGGAUAAAGCAUUUAGGAGAUCCCAUCAAGAUUGUCAUUGCUGUGUCCACCCCUAGCACCGUCUUCAUUGGAUCUAAUUUCAAAGAUAUCAGAAUUUCGAUCCAUUCUAACUCUAAGCAAAGAAGGGUUGGCGAAAAACUGGAUUUCCUCUCAUGGCUACCCAGAAUAAGUAAAGGGUCAGCGUUAUAAACCUCUUGAACAGAAGAUGAUGGGUUUAGCCGUUGCUGUUAGAUUGGGUUUGGGGCUAGCAACGGAUUUACUUCGGGUGGAAAACAGUAGUUUACAUCAUUAUCAUCAGAGCUUUGGUUUGAAAAAGGAAACUAAGAAAUUGAAACAAAAAGGUUUCAAUUGAAAGGGUUUCAAGAGAAGUUUCCUGAUGGUAAGAUUUGGAGUCCAAAACCUAGCGCCAGAAGAGAGAAAGGAGGGAGAAAGAAGAAGAAGAGAGAACCGUUUUGGUCGAUUCGGUCCAAUUUUCAAAAUCGGCAUAAGUGAAUGUUCACCAUACACGUGGCAUCGGCCAGGUGUUGACAUCGCAGGCAGGCUCCGCCAAGAAAGCACGCCGCAGAGGAGCUUGAUCCCUUAUUUCAUCAGGUUUCGGUAAAUGGAUAUGUGUCUUUAAAUGUCUGGAAUUGGAUAACUCCUAGGUGAUGGUGGAGAUAGGGGAUUCAAUCCCUAAAUUUUUAGGGACUAGGGUUGACACCUUUGAUGCAGCCAUGGCCAGAUGUCUCCAUGCUUGGCCUGCAACCUGGUUCCAUGCAAUGGAUGCUGCUGCAGGAAAUGAGAGUUGGAAUCCUUCUAAACAGGCAUCUCCAUCCCUUCUCCUAUUCCGGCAACUUCAGUGCCUCUCUGGUUCAAAGGCAGAUGUUGCAACAACCUCAAUCUCAUCAUGCUUUCCUUCAAACAUGUUGUGCCUUGUUUUAAGGAAUGGAUGAACAAAGUAUGGUUUUAAAUUGAUAUGUUUCAGUGUACAGCUUA